rnacentral:rRNA from 1 species
AGUAACGCGUGGGUAACCUGCCUCAUACAGGGGGAUAACGAUUGGAAACGAUUGCUAAUACCGCAUAAGCGCACAGUACCACAUGGUGCAGUGUGAAAAAUUCCGGUGGUAUGAGAUGGACCCGCGUCUGAUUAGCUAGUUGGUGAGGUAACGGCCCACCAAGGCAACGAUCAGUAGCCGACCUGAGAGGGUGACCGGCCACAUUGGGACUGAGACACGGCCCAG